rnacentral:rRNA from 1 species
AUUGAACGCUGGCGGCAGGCCUAACACAUGCAAGUCGCGCGGAGCGGCUGCCGGGUGAGUAUUACCUAGGACUCUGCCUGGUAGUGGGGGCUAACGUUCGGAAACGGACGCUACUACCGCAUACUAUCAGAUGAGCCUAGGUCGCAUUCGCUAGUUGGUGAGGUAAUGGCUCACCAAGGCUACGAUCCGUAACUGGUCUGAGAGGAUGAUCAGUCACACUGUAACUGAGACACGGUCCAGACGCCUACGGGAGGCAGCAGUGGGGAAUAUUGGACAAUGGGCGAAAUCCUGAUCCAGCCAUGCCGCGUGUGUGAAGAAGGUCUUCGGAUUGUAAAGCACUUUAAGUUGGGAGGCGUUACCGACAGAAGAAGCACCGGCUAACUCUGUGCCAGCAGCCGCGGUAAUUG